rnacentral:rRNA from 1 species
UACGUAGGGACCAAGCGUUGUUCGGAUUUACUGGGCGUAAAGGGCGCGUAGGCGGCUUAACAAGUCACUUGUGAAAUCUCCGGGCUUAACUCGGAACGGCCAAGUGAAACUGUCAAGCUAGAGUGCAGAAGGGGCAAUCGGAAGUUCUUGGUGUAGCGGUGAAAUGACGUAGAUAUCAAGAGGAACACCUGAGGUGAAGACGGGUUGCUGGGCUGACACUGACGCUGAGGCGCGAAAGCCAGGGGAGCAAACGGG